AUGCAGUCGAGCGGUAGAGAGGUGCUUGCACCUCUUGAGAGCGGCGGACGGGUGAGUAAAGCCUAGGAAUCUGCCUGGUAGUGGGGGAUAACGCUCGGAAACGGACGCUAAUACCGCAUACGUCCUACGGGAGAAAGCAGGGGACCUUCGGGCCUUGCGCUAUCAGAUGAGCCUAGGUCGGAUUAGCUAGUUGGUGAGGUAAUGGCUCACCAAGGCGACGAUCCGUAACUGGUCUGAGAGGAUGAUCAGUCACACUGGAACUGAGACACGGUCCAGACUCCUACGGGAGGCAGCAGUGGGGAAUAUUGGACAAUGGGCGAAAGCCUGAUCCAGCCAUGCCGCGUGUGUGAAGAAGGUCUUCGGAUUGUAAAGCACUUUAAGUUGGGAGGAAGGGCAUUAACCUAAUACGUUAGUGUUUUGACGUUACCGACAGAAUAAGCACCGGCUAACUCUGUGCCAGCAGCCGCGGUAAUACAGAGGGUGCAAGCGUUAAUCGGAAUUACUGGGCGUAAAGCGCGCGUAGGUGGUUCGUUAAGUUGGAUGUGAAAUCCCCGGGCUCAACCUGGGAACUGCAUUCAAAACUGUCGAGCUAGAGUAUGGUAGAGGGUGGUGGAAUUUCCU
rnacentral:rRNA from 1 species